rnacentral:rRNA from 1 species
GACGAACGCUGGCGGCGUGCUUAACACAUGCAAGUCGAACGAAGUGGCGAACGGGUGAGUAAUACGUGAGUAACCUGCCCUCCUUUUUGGGAUAAGCCUUGGAAACGGGGUCUAAUACCGGAUAAAGGGGGAUGGGCUCGCGGCCUAUCAGCUUGUUGGUGGGGUGAUGGCCUACCAAGGCGGUGACGGGUAGCCGGCCUGAGAGGGUGACCGGCGACGGUGGGACUGGAUUACGGCCCAGGCUACUGAGGGAGGCAGCGGUGGGGGGUGUUGCACAAUGUGCGAAAGGCUGAUGCAGCUACGCCGCGUGGGGGAUGAAGGCUUUCGGGUUGUAAACGUGUUUCGCUAUCGAGCGGGUAGGUGGGGAAGAAGCUCCGUCAUAAUACGUACCAGCAGCCGCGGUAAUAC